rnacentral:tRNA from 1 species
ACCCCGGUGGCUCAGUGGUAAAGCGCAUCACUAUGUAUGAUGAGAUCGCCAGUUCGAUUCUGGCUCGGGGUA